rnacentral:rRNA from 1 species
UUUUUUCUGGAAUGAAAUAUUUUUGAAAUUCGAGCUUAAGGAUAGGGCUGCGGCUGAUUAGGUUGUUGUUAGUGUAAUGGACUAACAAGCCGAUGAUCAGUAAGGGCUCUUAGCGGAGAGGCCCUGAGAAGGAAUCUGAGACACUAUUCCUAGCCUUACGGGGUGCAGCAGUCGAGGAAAUUUUACAAUGCUCGCAAGAGUGAUAGAAUGAAUCAGAGUGUUUCUCUUAGAGAAGCUUUUUUCUGUUGUAAAAAGACAGAAGAAUAAGGACUGGGCAAGACCGGUGCCAGCCGCCGCGGUAAUACCGGCGGUCCAAGUCGCAUCCACAUUUAUUGGGUCUAAAACAUUCGUAGCUUGUUUUAUAAGUCUCUUGUGAAAUUCUAUAUCUCAAAUAUAGAGCGUGCAAGAGAUACUAUAUUACUAGAGACCGGAAGACGUAAAGAGUAUGGUUGAGGUAGCGGUAAAAUGUGUUAAUCUCAAUUAGACUAACAAUUAGCGGAGGCACUUUACGAGUACGGAUCUGACAGUGAGGGAUGAAGGCUAGGGGCGCAGAAGGGAUUAGAUACCCCUGUAGUCCUAGCAGUAAACACUGCUCACUAAACAUCAGUGCCUCCUCGAGAGGCAUUGGUGCUGUAGAGAAGUCGAAGAGUGAGCUACCUGGGAAGUAUAGUCGCAAGGCUGAAACUUAAAGGAAUUGGCGGGGAGGCACUACAACGGGUGACGCGUGCGGUUCAAUUAGAUUAUACACCGUGAACCUCACCAGGAGCGAUAGCAGAAUGAAGGUCAGUCUAAAGGGCUUACCUGACACGCUAAGAGGAGCUGCAUGGCCGACAUAAGCCUGUGUCGUGAGAUGACUUGUUAAAUCAAGUAACAGGCGAGACCCUCGUGCUUAGUUGCUACGUAAGAGUACACUAAGCAGACUGCCUUGGUAACAAGGAGGAGGGUGGGGGCAAUGUCAGGUGGGUACAACCCGAAUCCCCUGGGCUACACGCGCGCGGCAAUGUCAUAUUCAAAGAGAUGCGACUCUGAAAGGAGAAGCUAAUCCCAUAAAGUAUGGCUUAGUACAGAUUGAAGUUUGCAACUUAACUUCAAGACGAUGGAAUCCGUAGUAAUCGGGUGUAAUCAACGCCCGGUGAAUACGUCACGGCCUCUUGCACACACUGCCUGUCAAACCAACCGAGUUGUGCUUUGGCGAGGUCCUUCGGGAACGAACCUCGGUACGACAAGGUAGGUU